rnacentral:rRNA from 1 species
AUUGAACGCUGGCGGCAGGCCUAACACAUGCAAGUCGAGCGAGCGGCGGACGGGUGUGUAAUGUCUGGGAAACUGCCUGAUGGAGGGGGAUAACUACUGGAAACGGUAGCUAAUACCGCAUACCAUCAGAUGUGCCCAGAUGGGAUUAGCUAGUGGGUGGGGUAACGGCUCACCUAGGCGACGAUCCCUAGCUGGUCUGAGAGGAUGACCAGCCACACUGGAACUGAGACACGGCCCAGACUCCUAGGGGAGGCAGCAGGGGGGAAUAUUGGACAAUGGGGGAAAGCCUGAUGCAGCCAGGCCGCGGGGGUGAAGAAGGCCUUCGGGUUGUAAAGCACUUUCAGCGGGGAGGCGUUACCCGCAGAAAAAGCACCGGCUAACUCCGUGCCAGCAGCCGCGGUAAUUC